GCUUUGUUGGGCUGAAAGAGCUUCGAUGACAUGGCGGUGAGAGCGGAAUGUGAUCGUCUCUCUAAUGGUUCCGACACAAAACAGAGCAGCAACAACCACGACGACGAUCAUCCUGAGGAGACGCUUUCAUGAUCGCAGCCAUGGAAACAUCGUCUCUCUUUGUCUCUAUCUUCGUUUUCGUCUUUCCUUGGCCGUCUUGGUGCUCUCCUUGGCCGUCGGUGAAAGCGUUUCGGUGGCCCGUCGUUGACCGGAUUUGAAAUCGUUUGGAUCGGGUUGAAGGUGAGUCACAAGAGAGGAUGGAGAUCAAUGUUACGAUAGUUGUUUGUAUGUUGAAAAGACGAGAGAAUGAAAGAUCAAAAACGAUAGUUGUGUUUAGAAAAGACAAGAGAAUGAAAUAUUUGUUAUGGUAUCGAAGAAGAAGAAAGAGAAUGAGAGUGAAUUUUGAUUUCUCAUGAAUGAUGUUGGAGAUUAGCAUUCUCUCAGAUGUUUAUUUAUAAGCAUUAGGUUCUUCCAAAACAAAAAGGAAACUUUCGAUUGUUUCCUUUUUCUCGACGAGUUCUAUUGUUUCCUUUUUUUUGGUUAACUUUAGAUUUCCUUUUUUCAUAAUUGGGCCUGGAAAAGGUAAAAAGGAUCAAUAGCCGAUUUCCAUCUUUG